GGAUACGACUCCAACGAAACCGGUGAACCAUUGAUUGGUUUGUAUUUUCAUGUCAUUAAUUUCUUUGUGUAAAAUAUCCACUUCAUUGAGAAUUUUCGUUUCAUUUUCGUGAAUAUUUGUGUUUCUAGACGUUGCGGCAUCUUUCAUACGUCCUUUUUCAAGGUUUAAAUUCAAUCUGACUUCAGACAAAGCGGUUUUAACGUCUUCGCGGAGAGAACUCUUGGUUUUUUCAAUUUCGUUAAUAAGUUUAUCAGAGCUUUUCCUAACUUUAUCAAAUUCAUUUUCCUCAAUCGUCUCCAAAUACUUCCGAAUUUGUAAAAAUGUUCUUUUUUGCUGGAACGACACAGAUUCCUGCUUAGCUUUAAAUCCUAUAUUUUUCUCUAACUCUGUAAGCCUAUAACGUUAGUUGGAAAGCUCUUAAACUUUUUACUUACGCCUCUCCAGUAAUGGUCCUCAUCAAAUUAGUAAUUGUUUCUGCAUUUUUUACAGAAUAACCAGCCUGCUCUAGUCUUCUGGAAGACUGUUUAAGCAAUUCAGGGCUUGGUUCAUAAGAUGCAGAAUAUCUUUCGGAUUGGAUUCUAUUAAUAAUCGUCCAAGGUCUAUUUUGACUUAGAAAUGGGAAAAUUUGUUUCCGAAUAAUCAUUUGUUCCUUUUUUAUUUGUAAAUUCUAAGGAACGAUUCAAUAUUCAUGGGCGAUUUGAGAAAAGAUACGUCAAAAAAAGUAAAUUAUGUUAAAGAAGCAGACAAUUGCAUUUGAAGAAAAUCAAUCUUUAUACUACUACGUUCGGUGGUGAUAAUUUAGAGGUUUUGGUGUUUCUGAUAUGGUAAAAUAAGGCGGACUAAUGAAUAUUUUAGUCUCUAAAAAUAAAAGAAAUAUAUAUGUAUAUUAAAUAAUAAUUUUUUAA